UUUUUUUCCAAAAGAAUGAAACAUGUUUUAUCCAAACCAUUGUAUCCACAGGGGGAAAAGGGAAAGAAAGGCAAAAAGGGGCCUAAAGGGGAGAAAGGAGAACAGGGUGCUCCUGGAUUAGAUGCACCUUGCCCAUUGGGUCCUGAUGGAUUACCAAUGCCUGGCUGUUGGCAAAAGUGAUGAAUCUAACCUUACGAGCAUGAAGUUGUGUAUAUAGUGCUCCACUUUUUGUAUUUAUAGUUGAAAAUGGAAAAUUUGAUUUUACAAGUCUGAGAGAUGUUUACAUGUAGCUGCUUCUACUUGUUUGCAAUAGUCCAUGUGUAUAUCUUUUUUCACUUACAUCUGCAGUUAGAUGAUGUAUAACUGCAGGACAAACCUGCAAAGAUUGUCUCUCUAGAGAUAUCUAUACAGCGAUCAAUAACAUAAAUCUGAUUACUUCUGUAAAUUCUUAUAUUUUGGCUUGUGGACCUGCAUGGACAAUGAGUGCCAUGAACUAGUUUACAAGAAAUUGUGACCAAAUAAGAGCUAAAUGCUAUGAAAUGUACUGUACCAGCUGCCAUUGGAGUUUACUGACUUGGCUUCCAUGUCCGUCUUAAACGCUUCACUGAUUCAUGCCACUACAUCUGCUUCUACAGACUAAAAGCAUGAGUUUGUGUGCCAAACCUGCUUGUUGUGUGAUCACGUCACAUGCUAAAUGGCUGCUCACGGUGACCUUUGAUUCCAGCUUCUGAAUUGUUUCCUUUUGUCAUCUCAAGGGAGUCACACCAUGGCUUAUUGCUAAAAAGAGAUAAAGCAGAGGAGGAUAGAAAGAGGCCUUGAAUUUUUGGGGAAC
rnacentral:lncRNA from 1 species